CGGGGUGAGUAAUGUAUGGGGAUCUGCCUGAUGGCGGGGGAUAACUACUGGAAACGGUAGCUAAUACCGCAUAAUGUCUGCGGACCAAAGCGGGGGACCUCCGGGCCUCGCGCCAUCAGAUGAACCCAUAUGGGAUUAGCUAGUAGGUAAGGUAACGGCUCACCUAGGCGACGAUCCCUAGCUGGUCUGAGAGGAUGACCAGCCACACUGGAACUGAGACACGGCCCAG
rnacentral:rRNA from 1 species